CCCUUAAGGCAUUUCUCUGAAUAAAUAGGUUCAUAAGUUUGAAAUAAAUAAUUCUAAAAAGAUUUGUCAUUAAAAAAUUAAUAUGUGUUGUUAAAAUGAACAAUUCAUACUUUACAUACGUUUUAGUUAAAAGGAAAAUAUCGCUAAAAUGUAUUUCCUGUUCUGGCGGCGCACUUCCGGUUCCGGUCAAGCACUUCCGGUUUUGGUCAAGCACUCGGUUUUUGCUGAGAAAUAGGCUCCACAUGCUAAAGGCAGUAUGGAGAUGUAAUCAGAUGCCAUCUACUUUGAAUUAUCAGGCUGGAACGCCUUUUCACCACAUGUUCAUGGAGACAAUUAAACAAGCUGCAACUAAA